rnacentral:snRNA from 2 species
AUACUUACCUGGAUGGGGUCAAUGGGUGAUCAAGAAGGCCCAUGGUUUAGGGCAGCAAUGUCCAUUGCACUUUGGAGGGGUGUUGUUCUAAGGUCUGCCCAAGUGGCAGAGCCUACAUCAUAAUUUGUGGUAGAGGGGACCUGUGUUCGCGCAACCCCUAC